CUUUAGAAAAUGUAACACAUCACACUCAUUUUAUUUGAUUCUGAAGUUAAAUUGUUAAGCUCUUGUGUAACCUUCACUUUAAAACUUUGUAUUUUACAGUCAACUGAACUCAUGGGCUUGUUCUUUCUAUAUCGUCUUCAGGUUGCCUUUCUCCAGAUGCAGUUUUCUGCUCAGUCUUUUACGCAGCACACCAUAAUCAUGCAUUUUGCCCUUUUAUGUGGCUUUUCUUUGCAUCUGCAAUCUGCUGCCUGCUCUGCCUCUCUUUAUAACACCUAACGGUGCAUAUGACUUUUAGCAAUAACUUCCAAUGAACUUCCAUCCUUAGAUACUAUAUGAAUGAAAGGAAAUAUACCGAGAACAGGAAGGAAAUCAUAUAUCUACCUCAGGUAUAAAACAGGCAUGUUUUAUAUACCCAUUUCCACAUCCCUAUAGUCAUUUCUGCAUUCUCAAAUGCAUAUGUUCACAAUACACGAGCUA
rnacentral:lncRNA from 1 species